rnacentral:hammerhead_ribozyme from 1 species
AUCCGACUGACGAGUCUCAAACAGAACGAAACAUGCGUCCUGAAU